GCCGGGCGCGGUGGUGCCUGCCUGUAACCCCAGCCACUUGGGAGGCUGAGACAGGAGGAUUGCAAGUUCAAAGCCAGCCUCAGCAACAGUAAGGCAUUAAACAACUCAAUGAAACCCUGUCUUUA
rnacentral:sRNA from 1 species